UACGAAGGGUGCAAGCGUUACUCGGAAUUACUGGGCGUAAAGCGUGCGUAGGUGGUUCGUUAAGUCUGUCGUGAAAGCCCCGGGCUCAACCUGGGAAUGGCGAUGGAGACUGGCGAACUGGAGUGUGGCAGAGGGGAGUGGAAUUCCGCGUGUAGCAGUGAAAUGCGUAGAGAUGCGGAGGAAAACCGAUAGCGAAGGCAGCCCCCUGGGCUAACACUGACGCUCAGGCACGAAAGCGUGGGGAGCAAACAGG
rnacentral:rRNA from 1 species